UCUAAUAUGGCAGAUUAGUGCAGAAGAUUUAAAUUCUUCAUAUAAAGUCCCCCUUUUUUUAGAA
rnacentral:tRNA from 1 species